rnacentral:pre_miRNA from 8 species
UACACUGAUGCUACGCUAGCCGGCGCUGAGAGGCGGAGACUUGGGCAGCUGCCGUCAUUCCCAGAAGGCAUUGCACUUGUCUCGGUCUGACAGUGGCGGCACAACCCCUCCAUUCACCAG